rnacentral:rRNA from 1 species
UCCUACGGGAGGCAGCAGUGGGGAAUUUUGGACAAUGGGGGCAACCCUGAUCCAGCCAUGCCGCGUGCGGGAAGAAGGCCCUCGGGUUGUAAACCGCUUUCAGAUGGAAAGAAAUGGUGUAGGUUAAUAACCUGCAUUGAUGACGGUACCAUCAGAAGAAGCACCGGCUAACUACGUGCCAGCAGCCGCGGUAAUACGUAGGGUGCGAGCGUUAAUCGGAAUUACUGGGCGUAAAGCGUGCGCAGGCGGUUCUUUAAGACAGGUGUGAAAUCCCCGGGCUUAACCUGGGAAUUGCGCUUGUGACUGGAGGGCUAGAGUGUGGCAGAGGGGAAUGGAAUUCCUGGUGUAGCAGUGAAAUGCGUAGAUAUCAGGAGGAACACCGAUGGCGAAGGCAGUUCCCUGGGCCAACACUGACGCUCAUGCACGAAAGCGUGGGGAGCAAACAGGAUUAGAUACCCUGGUAGUCCACGCCCUAAACGAUGUCAACUAGUUGUUGGGGAGGGAGACCUCUUUAGUAACGUAGCUAACGCGUGAAGUUGACCGCCUGGGGAGUACGGCCGCAAGGUUAAAACUCAAAUGAAUUGACGGA